AUCUGGCUCUUUCAGAGUCCGAGUUGUAAUUUUGAGAACUGUUUUCCGUGCUGGACCAUUUCUAAGUCUGUUGAAAAAUAGCAUCAUUGAGGGUGAUAAUCCCGUUCAUGAUAUGGACUACCAGUGCAAUGUGAUACAGUUUCUAAGAGUCGAGUUGUUUGGGAAUGCAGCUCAAAGUGGGUGGUAAAUUCCAUCUAAGGCUAAAUAUAGGUGAGAGACCGAUAGCAUACAAGUACCGUGAGGGAAAGAUGAAAAGAACUUUGGAAAGAGAGUUAACAGUACGUGAAAUUGUUGUAAGGGAAACAUUUAAAGUUAGCCUUGUGCUUGUUAGUUCAGCUCUUUUACUAGGGUGUAUUCUAAUGAUGUCACGGACCAACAUCAGUUUUUGGGUGCUGGAUAAGGGUUCCAGAAAUGUAGCAGUCUUGGCUGUGUUAUAGUCUGGGAUUUGGAUACAGUGCUUGGGACUGAGGAUAUUUGCGGCAAGC
rnacentral:rRNA from 1 species